rnacentral:tRNA from 1 species
GGCGGUGUAGCUCAGCGGUUAGAGCAGUGGCUUCAUAAGCCAUGUGUCGCUGGUUCGAUUCCAGCCACCGCUACCA